rnacentral:rRNA from 1 species
UUGACCUCGGAUCAGGUAGGGAUACCCGCUGAACUUAAGCAUAUCAAUAAGCGGAGGAAAAGAAACCAACAGGGAUUACCUUAGUAACGGCGAGUGAAGCGGUAACAGCUCAAAUUUGAAAGCUGCCAACAGGCCGCGUUGUAAUUUGUAGAAGCUGCUUUGGGUGUCGGCCCGGUCUAAGUUCCUUGGAACAGGACGUCAUAGAGGGUGAGAAUCCCGUAUGUGAUCGGUGCCGUUGCCCGUGUAAAGCGCUUUCGACGAGUCGAGUUGUUUGGGAAUGCAGCUCAAAAUGGGUGGUAAAUUUCAUCUAAAGCUAAAUAUUGGCCAGAGACCGAUAGCGCACAAGUAGAGUGAUCGAAAGAUGAAAAGCACUUUGGAAAGAGAGUUAAACAGUACGUGAAAUUGUUGAAAGGGAAGCGCUUGCAACCAGACUUGCGGGCGGUCGAUCAUCCGAGGUUCUCCCCGGUGCACUCGAUCGUUCUCAGGCCAGCAUCGGUUUCCGGGGUGGGAUAAAGGCGGUGGGAAUGUGGCUCUUCGGAGUGUUAUAGCCCACCGUGCAAUGCCGCCACUGGGGACCGAGGACCGCGCUUCGGCUAGGAUGCUGGCGUAAUGGUUGUAAGCGACCCGUCUUGA